GAGAAAGAGAGAAAAGAGAAAGGUGGGUGGUAGAAAAUGGUAUAUUAUUUUAAUUUCGUGUUUCAAUUUUCAAGUUUGUUUCGGUAGAGGCUUCAUCUAUUUUUAUAUAUCUUUUUACA
rnacentral:ribozyme from 1 species